GUGUACUACUUACCCCUCCAUUCAGGAAAUUUAUCUUAACAAUAAAUGGAGACAAUUAAACCCACAAGCAAACAAAAUGCAGCUGUAGAGUUCAGUCCCAAUGCACGUAUCUAUCUACAACACGGCUGCUACACCUAAGGCUCAGGGAACAUUGCAGAAGACGAGGUGGAAAGAUUGCAAGAACAAGAGAAUAGAGGAGAUUGCAGUGAGAUUGUGUCUUCUACUAAUGUCAAAUGGAAACGGGAAGUCUAGCCAACUACAGUGGCAGUUGCUUAUAAUCCUAGCACUUCGAAGGUGGAGGCAAGGGAACUAAUUAUUCCAGAUUAUCCUCAGCUACAUAACGAAGAAGAGACUCCACCAUUGUCAAGAUGAUAAAGAAGUCCAGCCAGUAGUGCUACAGAAACCGUUAGAAGACACCUUGGAAUGAUUUCUGAGUUGAUAUUUUAGAAAGAGAUCAGAGUGUUUGGGAAAAGACACGAAGAGAAAAUCAACAAAAGAAUCCAUGUUGGGCUCCAUACUUACGUCGUUGUUCAAAGAGAAGAGAGAAGUGAAGUCUGUUGUUUACUACUACACACAGGUGGGCUAGGAAAGCCCGAGCACCCUGUUUCUAGAAAGCCAGUAUGUGGGGUGGGCCUCGGAGAUGGGUGGAGAGAAAGGCAAGUAAUGGAGGCAAAUAUAAGAAUAAUAGACAUCACAUGUUUCUCUCUUGCAGAAAAUAUAUACCUGUAUCUGACAUGGAGGCAGAAGAGAGACUAUUACAGAAGAGAAAGAGAAAACAGAAAAGCUGAGGGGAGGAAGGGUAAUUGUCAGUAUGGACAUUGUAUAAAGG